rnacentral:rRNA from 1 species
CAGUCGCCGCGGUAAUACAGAGGGUGCGAGCGUUAAUCGGAUUUACUGGGCGUAAAGCGUGCGUAGGCGGCUUUUUAAGUCGGAUGUGAAAUCCCUGAGCUUAACUUAGGAAUUGCAUUCGAUACUGGGAAGCUAGAGUAUGGGAGAGGAUGGUAGAAUUCCAGGUGUAGCGGUGAAAUGCGUAGAGAUCUGGAGGAAUACCGAUGGCGAAGGCAGCCAUCUGGCCUAAUACUGACGCUGAGGUACGAAAGCAUGGGGAGCAAACAGGAUUAGAUACCCCUGUAGUCCCUGUCUCUUAUAU